CUGCAAAUGAACAUUAUCUAAAGUUUAUCAACAGUUUUUGGAUACUUUUUUACUUGCAGCAUGCCAUAGGGUCUACUAGCAAGUCCAGGUGCUGCUAAAAGAUAGUAUGAGAGCUGCAGGCUGGGGGCUUUUACCAUUCUGGGCUUUAGCAGCUGAAGCUGCCACCUUCUCCCCAUGGACAGAGCCAGAGUAUUCUCAGGUGAUGUUUUCUUCUCAUCCAAAUGGUUUCCCAUGGGUAAUUCAUGCAAAACCAGAAUCCAGCUGCUGGACUAUUUCCCCAUUUCAGUGAACUGUUUACCUUGUUUCUGAAACCAGUUGUGGACAUCAGAAGGAGCAAGGAGCAAGUAACCACCAAGACACAAGCUGAGAGAGGUGAAAUAAUCACUUAAAUGAAGACAGCAGGGCCCCACAGAGAAGACAGGUAGAUCUACAGUGCUUUAUUACAGUAAUUUAGAAAGAAAUUCCCCUUUUAGCUCUGAAUUCUUUGAAAGGAUGUGAUACAGUACAUUUGUAGUUGUGAGAUGCAGGAAAAUUUAAAACUUGCUAAGUAAGAGGUUACUGAUGGUUUACAGGAGGAGCACUAAUAGCUAAGCCUCUAGAAACCUUGAAGGGAUGGGAUGCCUCUGUGAUUGGAUUUUAGGGAAAAGGAAGAAUUGCUAAGGAAACUAAGUACAUGCUCUUAAAUAAGAUUCAAGAAGUGCCCUCACUUUGAUAUGUGUCUUGUCUUUGAUAUGUGGGCACUGUAUCCUAACAAUCGUUCCCUUUCAGUUCUUUGUAAUUUAAGAUUAUUUUUAUAAUGCACCUUGCUAUAGCAUGCAAAUGAUGUAGUCUUGUGUGCAAUUGUAUUAUAAAGAAAGAACCAUCUGAACCAAAAUUAAUACACAGUAUUAAAUCACAUACUUAAUCAUUCAUUUUAGUUUGAUUUACUGAAGCUAUUGUGUUCUUGUUCUGUAUUACAGAAAAAAUUUAACAAGACACAACAUGUUUCUGAAUACCACGAUAUGUAGUCUCAAUUUAGGAUACAUUAUAGAUCAUCCUGAUGCUUAAAAGCCCAGUACACCAUUAGACUUGCAUGUUAAAAUAUCCCUUUCUCCUCUCAAGCAAACCCAAAUGUCCUGCCCUAUAAGACAUGUCUAACGUGGUAUAUCACUUUAUCAUGUAAAAAAAAACAAACAGCCUAUUAAGAGGACAAGGGGAAUUAUAUCAGCAAGCUACAAUUAUUUUUUUCUUUUUAUUUAUUUUGCUUUUUUUUAAAUCCUAAAAUACUUUUUACUAAAAGACUAUUUUCA
rnacentral:lncRNA from 1 species